rnacentral:rRNA from 1 species
UACGGAGGGUGCAAGCGUUAUCCGGAUUCACUGGGUUUAAAGGGUGCGUAGGCGGGCAGGUAAGUCCGUGGUGAAAUCUCUGAGCUUAACUCAGAAACUGCCAUGGAUACUAUUUGUCUUGAAUGUUGUGGAGGUAAGCGGAAUAUGUCAUGUAGCGGUGAAAUGCUUAGAUAUGACAUAGAACACCAAUUGCGAAGGCAGCUUACUACACAAAUAUUGACGCUGAGGCACGAAAGCGUGGGGAGCGAACAGG